UUUUUUUUUUUUUUCUUUAAAUGCCAGAGGUUGAUUUAUUUGUAUUUGUUGAAAAAGUGGCCCUAAAUAGUUUGUGAGAGUCAGUGGCAAACAGAGACCGGGAAACAGCGAGAAAGCCCUAAGAAUAUAAAAGUACAACUUUAGUUAAGGAUAGGUAGUUUCUCAGACAUCCCAUUGUGGCUAAGUGGUAACAAACGCAACUAGCAUCCGUGAGGACUUGGGUUCUAUCCCUGGCCUCUCUCAGCGGCUUAAGGAGCCGGUGCUGCCGUGAGCUGUGGUGUAGGUUACAGAUUCGGCUCGGAUCUGGCGUUGCUGUGGCUGUGACAUAGGCCAGCAGGUGCAGUUCCAAUUUGAUCCCUAGUCAGGGAACUUCCGUAUGCUGUCUGUAUGCAGCUCUAAAAAUAAAUAAAUAAAUAAAUAAAAAUAAAUAAAUAAAAGGGGGGAGGGGAUAGGCAGCUUCUCAAUUGGGUGCAUCCUGUUACUGCUUUUUUCUCUGAUUUAGGAACAUCCUUUGCUUUCCAUUCCCAAUGAGGUCUACCUUCUGAGUAUGGUACUUCCAGAGUUUCAAAAUUUUUGCCAACAAUGCUCUUGGAAGCAAGGCUAUAGGCAGUAUUUAUUAUGUAAUGUCCAUUGAUAUGGUUGCCAAAUUCUAUUACAAGUGAACUUCCAAGAAGACCUGUGCUGUUGGGAGGAGCUUCUACUGUUUCCAGGGCUUUCAGACAAUUGUAUGAAAGUGUAAGGUUUGAUGCUUUCUUUUCUGUAUUAACAAAAAGAAGUCACACCCUCAUAAAAUGUAGGUAGUUUUAGUGUUAGUUGAAUGCAUAUUGAUGUUGUAAGCAUAUUUAAGCUAAUCCUCCAGGAGAAGGCUUAGAGAAAAUUAUGAUUAAAAUAUUUAGAGGAGGAGUUCCUGUCAUGGCUCAGUGGUUAAUGAAUCCAACUAGGAACCAUGGGGUUGCGGGUUUGAUCCCUGGCCUUGCUCAGUGAGUUAAGGAUCUGGCAUUGCCAUGAGCUGUGGUGUAGGUCGCAGACGCGGCUCGGAUGUGGCGUUGCUGUGGCUGUGGUGAAGGCUGGCAGCUGCAGCUCCGAUUUGACUCCUAGCCUGGGAACCUCCAUAUGCCUUGGAAAGCAGCCCUAGAAAAGGAAAAAAGACAAAAAAUAAAUAAAUAAAAUAAAAUAAAAUAAAAUAUUUAGAGGACAAUGGUCCUGAACAUAUCCAAAACUGCAAUGGUAAAAGCAAGUUGACCAAAAAAAAAAGAGCAAGUUGACAAAAAAUGACCUCUUUACUCAUUACAACCUGAGGCAUCACCUCUCACCCAUUCAUUCAUUCAACAAAUAUUUAUUGAGAAGGUCCUUUGUAUCAGCCAACUUCUACUUUACUUCUAGUGUGAAAACAAUGGAUAGAUACAAACCAAUAUCUUAUAAAUCCAAAUUCCCAAAGAAAGUGUUAAUAACCAGUGGUUUUCUAUAAAACAGACAUAAUUUCAUAAAAGUUGUAUAUCCAGACAUGAAUAUCUCUAAUGAGACUGAGAAUGACUAGGGUCAUUUAUCAUUUCAGUUAGACAACUCAAUUAUCUGUUGAAUGAUUUGUAAAUUUCCUCAUAAUUUUUAUUUUUCUUCCUUAUGAUAGACCAACACAAAGUUUUUAUCAUUAAAAAUUGAUAUGUGCCUAUUGUAAAAUAUUGAAAAUAUUGAGAAAAGAAAAUGAACAUUACCCACAAUCUACCUCCCAUACAUAAAAUACUGCUUAUAUUCUGCUAUGUUUCUGUCUAAUAUUUUAUGUAUCUACAUAUGUUAUUCAUGAAAAAAUUUUGCUUAUCGAGAACAAUUUUAUAUCUUUCUUUAUUCUCUUAGAAUUAUUUCCUGAACAUUUCCUAUAGUAGUAAUGAUUUUUAAUUAAAGCGCUAUCAAUAGUCUAUCGCAUUAUCAUAUCAUAAUUAAUUUGAGUCAUGAAUAUUUAGAUUGCUUCACUCUUCACUACUGUCAAAAAUACUGUGUUAGACUUUAAAGGUUAUCCACUCUACAGGCUCUCAUACAAUUGCCAAGAUAAAACUAAUAUCAAAUGAGAGUAUUUCACCAGCUUAAAAGAGAGGCAGCUCUUAUAGGAAUUGCAAAGGGAAAUGGUGAGCAUUAUGCAGCUAGCUCUUGCAAACGUUCAACUGCAAGAGGAGUUUGGAGUUCUGUUGCAUAACUCUUCCCCAUGGUAAUCUAUGAAGCAUGAUAUGAAUAUUAGGAUUCUAUGUGUCAUAAUAGGAUUGAAGAUAGUGCGAUAUUGUGAAAAGUUCAUAGAUUCUGGAAUCAGAAAAGUCCGGCUUUGAAUCUUGAGUAUUAGACCUUGAAGAGCAUCUACAAAAUGGGGACAAUAAUAAACUUUGAGUGAUUCUUGUGAAGAAUAUAUUCACUAAUGUAUGUAUAUAUCCAAUACAGUGUCUUUUAUAACAAAAGCUCAAUAAAGUGGUGGCUACUAUUAUUUUUUAAUGUGUAUGUAUAUGUAUAUAUCUAUAUCUCUUUAACUUCACACUAUUGGGCAAGGCAGUGUCUUUUAUCUGACUCGAGUGACCCCGUACAGAUAUUCUAGAGGACAGUGACUUGCAAAAAUUCCUUCUCAUGUAAGUAGAAAGAACUCUUCAAAACAAAAAUUUCUCCAUUAGUUGUGAAAUAGAUGUCUUAACAGAAACUGUUAGCAGAGUGGCUGAUCAGUAACAAAAAUUGAUCUAUUUAUCAUUAAGGACGACAAUUGGAAGUUAAAAACCUCCACCCCAGGAAUGGAUUUUCUAUCCUCUAGUGUCAUACAAACUCCUCAGAGGUUGUAUUUUAUCUUUUUCAUUAAAAUAACUCUCAAAGAUAACUGGGAGUUUAGGGUUAGUAGAUGCAAGCUACUGCAUUUAGAAUGGAUAAGCAAUGAGGUCCUACUGUGUAGGUCCAAUCACUUGGGAUAGAACAUGAUGGAAGAUAAUAUGAGAAAAAGAAUAUAUAUUCUUUUUCACUGGGUCACUUUACUGUACAGCAGAAAUUGAUAGAAGAUUGGAAAUCAACUAUACUUUAAUAAUUUUUUUUUCUUUUUGGGGCCACACUUGAGGCAUAUGUAAGUUCCCAGGCUAGGGGUCGAAUCAGAGCUGAAUUGCUGGUCUAUGUAACAGCCACAGCAACAGCAGAUCAGAGAUGCAUCUGCAACCUACACCACAGCUCAUGGCAAGGCUGCAUCCUUAACCCAGUGAGCAAGGCUGGGAAUUGAACUUGUGUCCUCAUGGAUAUUAGUUGGGUUCAUUACUGCUGAGCCACAGUGUGAACCUCAAUAAAAAAUUUGUUAAUAAAAAUAAAUAAAUAAAAGAUAAAUUAAUGUUUAUCAACUAGAAAGUAGGGCUUGGAGCUCCUUCUCUUAAACAAUGUCAGUUGGAAGAAGGAAGAGCAUUAGAACAUAGCCUCAGAAUGCCCUCAUGACCACAGCAGGGCUACCUGGUCAUCCUGGACACCUUUAAACCCCCUAUCCUGGUGCCGUCAUGCAAGCUGGGAGCCAUGGAUAUGUAGAUAUGGACAUCUGGUUACUGCUGUGGUACAGGUUCGAUCCCUGGCCUGGGAACUUCUGCAUGCUGUGGGUGUGGCCCCCCCAAAAAUAAAAUAAAAUUUUAAAAAUAAAUAAAUCAGCCAAUAAAGACACCAGCCUCUUCAUCUAAGAGCCACUCCCACUGUGGCUCAGCAGGUUAAGAACCCCACAUAAUGUCCUUGAGGAUGCGGCUCCGAUCCCUGACUUCCCUCAGUGGGUUAAGCAUGUGGCGUUGCUGCAAGCUGUGGCAUAACUGGCAGAUGCAGCUCAGAUCCAGUAUUGCUAUGGCUUUGGUGUAAGCCGGCAGCUGCAGUUCCAUUUCGACCCCAGCCUGGGAACUUCCAUAUGCCAAGGGUGUGGCCCUAAAUAAAUAAAGCUCCCUCGUAGGAAAAGGUAACAGUACCUCCUUGAGUGGAGGAGAAGCAAGUUCAAUCCAGGAAAACAUCUCGUGUGCACAUUUCACUAACUUGAAUCCCAUAAUAGGCUCCUUUGAAGUACCAUCUCAGAGUGGGCACCCUAUUGGAACAGGCAGCACAUUUCCUGAAAAUCAAUUUCCCAAGAGGGGCUUCAGCUUUCUUACCAAGUUUGAGGGUUGUGUGGAUGUCUAGAGUCGGCUAAAUAAAAUAUUACCUGCCAUGAGUGCUCACAGUCACACGGACCGUGGGCUGUGUGCAACGUCCCUGUGGAGAGAGAAAACUAGGCCAGCCCUUUGUGGGUAACGGAGGCCAUGAAUAAUGUACAGAGCAUGCAGCUUCUUUUCAUGCAGUUCUUACUGUGCUACUAUUUGUGACCAUUUUAGAACGUAGAAAAUGCAGGGAAAGCAGGAGGGGGCAAACUU
rnacentral:lncRNA from 1 species